rnacentral:lncRNA from 1 species
AUGUAUGGCAAGGACGACUGCACGGAGCCAGCACGACACUUCCUCACCUCUCUCGGAUCUGAAAUGAACAGUAGCCCUACGGCUGGUGUCAGAGCACUUGUCCGUUCUUCCUCCAGACUCCGGAUGGAGCGAUUCUCUACAGAAGCCAUAACUAGAAGUCACGGCUAUCAGUCUGAAAGCAGCAGUUUAAGGCGUUUCUACGCUCAGGACGAAUAUAUGCCUUUGUGUUUCUGAUGGAAACUACUUUUAGUGGUGCCAGCUGACAUUUGGGAAGGACUGAUUCGCUGUUCACCUUUAAUGUAUCAUUGCAACAGCUGUAUGCUGAGGGAUUACAAAGUUACCAAAGCGGAGACUAUUUAAACUUAAAUGCUUACUGUCUCAUUACACUCAAAGGGUUGGGAUUUCCUUAGCUGACCUAAUGAGACACAUUUUCGAAAUAGUAUAUAUUAAAAAUGCAGUCAUAGAUUUUGACCUUUUUGGAUGUUUUUUUUGUUUUUGUUUCUUUUUUGCUCCUCAUGUGACUGUCUCUGUGAUCACUGCCUGAAAUAAAGGUUUGCAUUAUUUGGGACUUUAAUUGUGCCUUGUGUGUCUUGUUUUUGGUUCAUCUUCCUUGUGGACGAUUAUGUUCUUUUUAGUGUAAUUACUGUGAGUCACACAUGUAUACAUGUGUAUAUAUAUACAAGUAAUGGAUCCAGACUCUAUGCUGCGCUAGCUUGUGAAACUACUACUGGGUAUUUAUAGCUAGCCUAAGCAACAUGCUAAUUACCCUUUUAACUGCAUCUGUGUUCUAAAAAUAACAUUCCAGUAUAUCUAUAUUAUAUUUUGAAGGUAAUUCUUUUUCCAGGUUACAUUU